rnacentral:rRNA from 1 species
AAUGAACGUUGGCGGCGUGGAUUAGGCAUGCAAGUCGAACGCUCUCUUGUAGCAAUACAGGAGAGAGUGGCGUAAGGGAGAGUAAUCCAUGGUUAGCUACCCUCGGGUCUGGGAUAGCGGCGGGAAACUGCCGGUAAUACCAGAUGACAUCUUCGGAUCAAAGGUGUGAUUCCGCCCGAGGAGGCGACCGUGACCUAUCAGCUGGUUGGCGGUGUAACGGACCACCAAGGCUAAGACGGGUAUGGGGCGUGAGAGCGUGCCCCCACUCACUGGGACUGAGACACUGCCCAGACACCUACGGGUGGCUGCAGUCGAGAAUCUUCGGCAAUGGACGCAAGUCUGACCGAGCGACGCCGCGUGCGGGAUGAAGGCCUUCGGGUUGUAAACCGCUGUCGUAGGGGAGGAAGCGACCGUGAAGAACGGAAGUUGACCGAUCCUAGGAGGAAGGGCCGGCUAAUCUCGUGCCAGCAGCCGCCGUAAGAC